UACAGAGGGUGCAAGCGUUGUUCGGAAUUACUGGGCGUAAAGAGCUCGUAGGUGGUUUGUCGCGUUGUCCGUGAAAACUCACAACUCAAUUGUGGGCGUGCGGGCGAUACGGGCAGACUGGAGUACUGCAGGGGAGACUGGAAUUCCUGGUGUAGCGGUGGAAUGCGCAGAUAUCAGGAGGAACACCGGUGGCGAAGGCGGGUCUCUGGGCCGAUACUGACGCUGAGGAGCGAAAGCGUGGGGAGCGAACAGG
rnacentral:rRNA from 1 species